AGUGAACGCUGGCGGUAGGCCUAACACAUGCAAGUCGAACGGCAGCACAGUAAGAGCUUGCUCUUACGGGUGGCGAGUGGCGGACGGGUGAGGAAUACAUCGGAAUCUACUUUUUCGUGGGGGAUAACGUAGGGAAACUUACGCUAAUACCGCAUACGACCUACGGGUGAAAGCAGGGGAUCUUCGGACCUUGCGCGAUUGAAUGAGCCGAUGUCGGAUUAGCUAGUUGGCGGGGUAAAGGCCCACCAAGGCGACGAUCCGUAGCUGGACUGAGUGGAUGAUCAGCCACACUGGAGCUGAGACACGGUCCAGACUCCUACGGGAGGCAGCAGUGGGGAAUAUUGGACAAUAGGCGGAAGCCUGAUCCAGCCAUACCGCGUGGGUGGAGAAGGCCUUCGGGUUGUAAAGACCUUUUGUUGGGAGAGAAAAGCAGCAGGUUAAUACCCCGCUGUUCUGACGGUACCCAAAGAAUAAGCACCGGCUAACUACGUG
rnacentral:rRNA from 1 species